rnacentral:rRNA from 1 species
UUAAUAGUAAGAUYUGSUCAAUGAUAUUUAAAUAAAUAGCCGCAAUUUCGUGCUAAGGUAGCAUAAUCAUUUGUYUUUUAAAUGAAGACUAGAACAAAAGAUUUAACAUUUUAAUUUAUUUAUYUAAUUUAAAAAUUCAAUUUAUAUUAUAUGUAAAAAUACAUUUAUAUUUUAGAAAGACGAUAAGACCCUAUUGAACUUAACUUUAGUUUAACUGGGGCAGUUAAUUAAUUAAAAUUUUAAAAAUCAAAUUUUAAUAAAAAUCCAAAAUAAUUGAUAAAUCAGUUACCAUAGGGAUAACAGCGCAAUUAUAUUCUAAGGUUCUUACUUAAAAAAUAGAUUACGACCUCGAUGUUGAAUUAAUAACCUAUUAAUCUAGAGCAAAUUCUCUAACAGGAAGUCUGUUCGACUUUUCAAAAAUUACAUGAUUUGAGUUCAGACCGGUAUAAGCCAGGUCGGUUUCUAUCUUCUAAAAAUAUUUUUACAGUACGAAAGGACCUAAAAAAUUAAUUUAAUUAUUUUAUUGGCASAUMAAUGCAUUARAAUUARAAUCUAAUAAAACU